rnacentral:tRNA from 1 species
GCCUCUUUAGCACAGUAGGCAGCAUGUCAGUCUUGUAAGCUGAAGGUCCUGAGUUCAAUCCCCAAAAGAGGGA